GAAGUGUUAUCACUUCAGACCAACCUAUAUUGCUUCGAUUGAGUGACACUCCAUCAGUGAAGAAGGAAGGUGAAUCACGUCGGACAAGUGCAGGAGCCUCCUCAAAUCCACCACCUGAAGUGGAUCCUGAUAUCAUUUUGAAGGCCCUGUUCAAAUCCUCGGGGACCUCUGCUUCAGUGCAGCCUACAGAGUUCAAAAUCAAACUUUGAGCAGUAAAAGGCGAGGAGUGGACUGGAAAAUUAGUUGAGCGUGUGAAAUGGAUAGGUGCAGGGGUGCAACUGUUCUGUUGCCCAUGCUGAAAUCUUUCGUUUUGGGUUUUUUUGUUUUUUUAUAUAAUUGCUACCUUCCUGUACAGUAGUGUUCUCCCUAAUGUGUAUGUUCUGUUUUCAUAGCUGGAGUUUUGUCCACAUAUUUCUAAAGAAUAAUCUUCCCUUUCUCCAGUAAGAAUAUGUCAUCAAGCUUACACCAUGUAAUUCCUUUAUUUUUUUUUCCCACCCUCUCAACCCCUUUGCAGUAUCCAUCCAAAAAAAAUGCACCUAACAAAGAUUGUGGUAGGCAUCUCUUCGAGCUUGCAUCCUUUGAAAAAAGAAAUCUUUUUUACUUAGUGAUAAAUUACAUUUCAUUUUUAUGCAACUACAUCUGGGGCUAAGGCUGCAUAUCUCAUGGCACUCUCCUGCAGUUCAAACAUUAGAGAGAGACAAGCACAAAUGUUCUGCUCAUGCAGGAGCUGACAGAAACACUUGAAAGCAGCAGAAGGAUGUAAAAGUACAAGAAUGCAAUGUGUCCUGUACUUUUUACUCAUCUUCCAUUGUCAUGGUAGUUUGCCAAUGCCCUGAGAGAAACCUGGCAUUGUUGUGAACCUUCAGUCCAACAAGUCUCAUGGAUACUUUUUCCAUAAUAAAACAUCUGCUUUGUUUUGGACAGCUGUAAAAUGUUUUUCUUCACUUUCUUGCGUCAGAUAUUACCUUCUCUCUAGCCUCUUAUUGUGGAUUAGUAUAUCUGGGAGAAAAGUGCUUUUGGUUCUGUUUUAUAGGAAGAAGAAAGAGCCACCUCUCUUGCAUGAUAUUUCACAACCACUGAAAAUGAGUAAAGGUCCUUAUCAUCCCAAAAUCACACUUUUAGGUGUUAUGCUGCAGGUUUGUGUUUUUGGAUACUACUCCCUGAAUUAAUGGCCUGGGGAAUUCUGGGAGCUGUAAUCCAAAUAGGUAUACAAACCUACAUACCUCUAGUUGGGAGGUAAGUGACACCACAGUGAAUGCCAUCUAUAGGUCUUUUGGAACUAGUUCAGUACAGCUUGUCACAAUUGUCAUUUGAUACAAUAUUAUUUUAGCUGGAAGUUGGCUCAAUCGUAUAUCGUAGGCAGGAAACAAUUCUUACUGUCAACUCUCAAGGGGUUAUCAGUUGUAUUAACUGCUUGAGUAAGAGUCUUCUUUUGCUAUGCGGCAUUAGUGCUGAUUUGUGUGUACUAAAAAGUGGAAAGUGCACCUUGUUGACCAGGAGGACCAUCUACCCACCAAUCUGAAAUAGAAGAGUGAAAAAAGUGGGAAAUGAAAGGACUUUCCAAGUAGCAAAGCAAAGAAGAUGCACUUCAUGUCCAGAUGGAAUGUUUGGGAGAUAAAGAUGCACUCUGUUAGAUAACAUCAUAUUAAUUCUGUAAAAUAAAAAUCUGAUAUUUUAAUUAAUUUUCAUUUUAUAUUAAAUCAAAACACAGAAACAAUCUCCAGACUCUGGUUGGGGAAUUGGAUUUUUGACCUUCCAACUAAAAGAUUUUAAGCAUUUCUCUUCAUCUGUGCUAAGAUCCCGUAGUGUAAAAAUAUCUGCUUAUUUCCAUUAUAGAAUCUACUCAGUUGGUUCGACUUUCCUUGUACUCUUUGUUCUGUACAGUUUCUUAGUUUAAUCUAGCAAAGACACGAGUUAUGUUACAUGGAGUUAUGUUCCCAAUGUGGUUUGCUAAUCUGGAUUACUGCUUUUGAAUUAAAUGUCACCUGUACUGGGGAAGGUGUGUUUGUAAAUGCCAGAUUUUUGUGUGUGCAGAACUGCUAUUCCCUGUACCAAUGUUUAAUUAGCAACAGUGGUGGACUACAGAGGGAGAGAUUGGGGCUGAAGGACACUAUGUAUUAUGUUUCUGAAUAAACAUUUGUUAUACAGAUA